AUAUGCAUGAGGUAUAAUAAUUUUUAGGAAAAAACGGCGCUUUUGGCCCCUCAAUUGUUUUACUUUUGAAAAUUUGGCCCCUAUCAAUUGAUUUGAACAAACUUAGUCCUUCAAUUCUUCAUAAUGUACUACACUUAGUCCCUCAUUUUAUAUAAUUAAAAACUUUGAUAAUAAUUUUUUUCAUGGGGUUAUAUUUGUUAAUUAUUCUCCAGCUUCAUUCUCUCUCCUCUUCACAAUUUACGCCAU